GACGAACGCUGGCGGCGUGCCUAAUACAUGCAAGUUGAGCGAUGAAGAUUGGUGCUUGCACCAAUUUGAAGAGCAGCGAACGGGUGAGUAACGCGUGGGGAAUCUGCCUUUGAGCGGGGGACAACAUUUGGAAACGAGUGCUAAUACCGCAUAAUAACUUUAAACAUAAGUUUUAAGUUUGAAAGAUGCAAUUGCAUCACUCAAAGAUGAUCCCGCGUUGUAUUAGCUAGUUGGUGAGGUAAAGGCUCACCAAGGCGAUGAUACAUAGCCGACCUGAGAGGGUGAUCGGCCACAUUGGGACUGAGACACGGCCCAAACUCCUACGGGAGGCAGCAGUAGGGAAUCUUCGGCAAUGGACGAAAGUCUGACCGAGCAACGCCGCGUGAGUGAAGAAGGUUUUCGGAUCGUAAAACUCUGUUGGUAGAGAAGAACGUUGGUGAGAGUGGAAAGCUCAUCAAGUGACGGUAACUACCCAGAAAGGGACGGCUAACUACGUG
rnacentral:rRNA from 1 species